rnacentral:rRNA from 1 species
AGCUUCAGUAGCGUAUAUUAAAGUUGUUGCAGUUAAAAAGCUCGUAGUCGCAUUUCUGGCGAGAGGAUCCGGUCCGACCUUUUGGUGGGUUCUUGGGUCUCUUUCGCCAUCCUUGAGUGGUCCGUUCUGGCAUUAGGUUGUCGGAGCGUCAGCCGCUCAUCGUUUACUGUGAGAAAAUUAGAGUGUUCAAAGCAGGCUUAUGCCGUUGAAUAUAUUAGCAUGGAAUAAUAAGAUAGGACCGCGGUACUAUUUUGUUGGUUUGCGCACCAAGGUAAUGAUGAACAGGGACAGUUGGGAGUAUUUGUAUUUCGUUGUCAGAGGUGAAAUUCUUAGAUUUACGAAAGACAAACUACUGCGAAAGCAUUUACCAAGGAUGUUUUCA